AUACAGUCCAGUCAGUGCUGUGUAGAACCGUGUGGAGAAGUCUGAGGAGUCCUAAGGAGAAAAAAUCCAAAAUCUGCAGCCAUCCAAAUCAUAGGAUAACCUCAUCACUCUGGUGAAAGUCAAAGCCUGGCGUCCGCCGCUCAAGAUGUGGACAUUGAAGUUUGAUUUUAAGGAGAAAAACCUUUGGAUAAGCAGAGAAGGUUCCAGAGAAAGAACAACAAAGAUCACAAGAUAUUAUGGUUGCAGGGCUGAGGCUUCAAUCUGAUAGAACAAAGAAUUUUAUGUAGUGACAGAUAAAGAUCCAUAUUUCCCCCUAAGAAAUAAUUUUCGGAGAGUUGUUUACCGAUGACUCAAGUUUGGUGUCAGCCGCUUGGCAGCGGGGAUUACGGAGAAAUAAAGCUGUUUGUGCAGCACGUCAUGAGUCAUAUAUUAUACCAUCUUUACCAAUUCAAGCAUUUUAGAUUGAGUAUGGAUUUAUGCUCUAAGGACCUUAUAUUCUGUCUCUGAAACGGGAAAAAGUUACCAAUUAAAAUGAAAACAUCAACUAAUCCUCACUGAGCCGCCUUCAAGAAAUAUACCGUCUCAUGACCCAUCUGGACAUUCGACAACAAUGGUAUUUUUAUAUAUAUACUUUUACGAUCCUGAAAUGGCUUAAGGCAAAAUAUUUCAUUUUUAAUGAAUCUUCUGCCGGCCGGCCUCAGUCUGGUGCCCUUGCUUAGUCACUGUUUAUAAUCAGAAUGUUUUCCUUGCAGAAACAUUUCGGGCAGAUUUAUGGCACUAAACAUUGGCAGAGUAAUAAGAUAAGGAAGAAUGG